rnacentral:rRNA from 1 species
UGGGGGGAGCUAAACAUGCAGUCGAGCGGAUGAGAGGAGCUUGCUCCUCGAUUCAGCGGCGGACGGGUGAGUAAUGCCUAGGAAUCUGCCUAGUAGUGGGGGACAACGUUUCGAAAGGAACGCUAAUACCGCAUACGUCCUACGGGAGAAAGUGGGGGAUCUUCGGACCUCACGCUAUUAGAUGAGCCUAGGUCGGAUUAGCUAGUUGGUAGGGUAAAGGCCUACCAAGGCGACGAUCCGUAACUGGUCUGAGAGGAUGAUCAGUCACACUGGAACUGAGACACGGUCCAGACUCCUACGGGAGGCAGCAGUGGGGAAUAUUGGACAAUGGGCGAAAGCCUGAUCCAGCCAUGCCGCGUGUGUGAAGAAGGCCCUCGGGUCGUAAAGCACUUUAAGUUGGGAGGAAGGGCUCAUAGCGAAUACCUGUGAGUUUUGACGUUACCAACAGAAUAAGCACCGGCUAACUUCGUGCCAGCAGCCGCGGUAAUACGAAGGGUGCAAGCGUUAAUCGGAAUUACUGGGCGUAAAGCGCGCGUAGGUGGCUUGAUAAGUUGGAUGUGAAAUCCCCGGGCUCAACCUGGGAACUGCAUCCAAAACUGUCUGGCUAGAGUGCGGUAGAGGGUAGUGGAAUUUCCAGUGUAGCGGUGAAAUGCGUAGAUAUUGGAAGGAACACCAGUGGCGAAGGCGACUACCUGGACUGACACUGACACUGAGGUGCGAAAGCGUGGGGAGCAAACAGGAUUAGAUA